AUGCCGCGCCUCCGCCUCACUUCGUCGCGCGGCUGGCUCAAAACCGGUCGGGACCAUCUCAGACGAGGCAGAAUUCAAGUUCUAAAAGAGUCCCGUGCUCCGCCCCGAGGCCAAUGGGGGGACGAUGGGUUAGAUGUGUAUGGCGAUGGACAGCACCGUGGUUCCUCUUCCACGGGAGGGGGGCGUGGUUAUGCCUGGCAGAGUGACGGGUCUGCUGAGAGACCGUUUCUCGGCCCUCCAGGAGGUUUUGUUGAGGGUGCCUCCGGUCCGGAUCACCGCCAGAGAGGGGGUCACCGUGGACAUCGUGGUGGUCGGGGCGGUGGCCGCGGGAGGUAUCAUCGCAGACCGCCUCCGCCUUCGGCAGUUGUUGACCAAGCGGCGUCAGUAGUGGAGACCGAUCGUGCUUCCACGGAGCUCCCUCCACAGGCGAUGGAGGUGGUAGCGGCUUUAGCCAAUGUUGAGGUUCCUGCGACUAGGAGUGUGACUGAGGUUACCGACAGGUCUGAUGCUGAGAGGGCGUCCAAGUGGGCGCGUAAGAAGGAAAGGAUGCUUUGCUACCGUUGUGGUGAGAAGGGCCACUUCAUUGCUGAAUGCGUGGCAGAGCUGUGUGAGUCCUGUGGUAAGCCGGCACAUGCCUCGGGGGAUUGCCCGUUGUUGCGUGACCAGGCUCCGUCUUUGACAAUGUAUGGAGUUUAUUGUGCUGAGCUAAUGUUCUUUGAGUCCCCGGCCGCGUGA
rnacentral:rRNA from 1 species